rnacentral:rRNA from 1 species
AGUGAACGCUGGCGGUAGGCCUAACACAUGCAAGUCGAACGGCAGCACAGUAAGAGCUUGCUCUUACGGGUGGCGAGUGGCGGACGGGUGAGGAAUACAUCGGAAUCUACUUUUUCGUGGGGGAUAACGUAGGGAAACUUACGCUAAUACCGCAUACGACCUACGGGUGAAAGCAGGGGAUCUUCGGACCUUGCGCGACUGAAUGAGCCGAUGUCGGAUUAGCUAGUUGGCGGGGUAAAGGCCCACCAAGGCGACGAUCCGUAGCUGGUCUGAGAGGAUGAUCAGCCACACUGGAACUGCGACACGGUCCAGACUCCUACGGGAGGCAGCAGUGGGGAAUAUUGGACAAUGGGCGCAAGCCUGAUCCAGCCAUACCGCGUGUGUGAAGAAGGCCUUCGGGUUGUAAAGCCCUUUUGUUGGGAAAGAAAAGCAGCAGGUGAAUACCCCGCUGUUCUGACGGUACCCAAAGAAUAAGCACCGGCUAACUUCGUG